rnacentral:rRNA from 1 species
CGCGUAGGUGGUAGUGUAAGUCUGAGGUGGAAUCCUAUGGCUUAACCAUAGAACUGCCUUGGAUACUGUAUUACUUGAGUCAGUGAGGGGAGGGUAGAAUUCCUGGUGUAGCGGUGAAAUGCGUAGAUAUCAGGAGGAAGGCCUGUGGCGAAGGCGGCCCUCUGGUGCUGGACUGACACUGAGGCGCGAAAGCGUGGGGAGCAAACAGGAUUAGAUACCCUGGUAGUCCACGCCCUAAACGGUGGGCACUAGGUGUAGGGCUCGCAAGGGUUCUGUGCCGAAGGGAAACCAUUAAGUGCCCCGCUGGGGAGUACGGCCGCAAGGGUUGAA